GACGAACGCUGGCGGCGUGCCUAACACAUGCAAGUCGAGCGGAGUCGAUCGACGGAAGCCUUCGGGCGGAAGAUGGUUGACUUAGCGGCGGAUGGGUGAGUAACGCGUGGGCAACCUGCCUCGAAGACCGGGAUAACAGCCCGAAAGGGCUGCUAAUACCGGAUGUGGUCAAGGAUCCGCAUGGAUUUUUGAUUAAAGGGGAAACCCGUUUCGAGAUGGGCCCGCGUCCUAUCGGCUAGUUGGUGAGGUAAAAGCUCACCAAGGCGACGACGGGUAGCCGGCCUGAGAGGGUGACCGGCCACACUGGAACUGAGACACGGUCCAGACUCCUACGGGGGGCAGCAGUGGGGAAUCUUCCACAAUGGGCGAAAGCCUGAUGGAGCGACGCCGCGUGAGCGAAGAAGGCCUCGGGUUGUAAAGCUCUGUCUGGAGGGACGAAGGAAGUGACGGUACCUCCGGAGGAAGCCACGGCUAACUACGCGCCAGCAGCCGCCGGUAAUGAGUAGUACA
rnacentral:rRNA from 1 species